rnacentral:rRNA from 1 species
AUGUUUGAACAAUUCGGUCAUAUACUGUACGAGUGUGGUGCAUAUCAAGUGGAAGAGAUCGAAAAGGGUAAAGAGUAUGUUGCAAUACAUACAGAUGCUGCGCGGAGGGAGAAAUGGUGCAGAACUUCAUACAAGGUGUCUGUGCUUGAUGGAGGAGAAGAAUUUGACUGCGAGUGUGGUCAGUUUGCACACAUGGGGCUGUUGUGCAGCCAUAUACUGCAGGUGAAAAAAUAUAUGUGA